UGUAUUGGUGGCUCUUCAAGCGGCGCUGACCGUUAUUGGUAACUUCACAAUGUGCAUUGCUGCUUACAGGAUAUACAAAUCGUCCAGCGAAGGCUCCAAGAAUUUUUGAAUGAAAAACCUUCCACGAGAUCAAGUAAGCAGAGAAGUCCCUCCAAAAUGGUUUGAAGAUGUGGUCCAUUUCUUUCAUAAUUCACAUGUCAUUUUUCUUUUCAAGUAAAGAAAAGCCAUCCCAUCUUGUCUACCCUCUAAAAAGUCCAUGCCACCCCAUAAAGAUAAUGAAAGCAUUCAUAAUGGCUCAUCAGUCACAAGUCAAAGUGUGAAACUUUGAUCAUCCACAUGGACCUAAAUUUUGAUGUUUGAAAUUAUUUGUAAACUUCUAAUAUUAAGUAAUGGAUAAUUUAUUAUGUGAAA